AGAGAGUAUAGCAGGCUUGCUACGGGUUCUGGCGGCCUUAAGCCGACCUGAAUCCUAGCGCCGGUGACGGUCCAUUUUGGGGUCGUUAUAGAUUGGUAUCAGAGCCCUCGGUUCACAUGAUCGGACCUAUAGAGACAAUGUCGGGCUCAUAGAGGUUAAAAGUGGUCAAGCACAAUAGGAAAUCAUGUCCACUAGGAUAGGGUUUUGAGUCCUAUCUGCUUGAUAUGCCAUG
rnacentral:lncRNA from 1 species